CCUACGGGGGGCAGCAGUGAGGAAUAUUGGUCAAUGGUCGGGAGACUGAACCAGCCAAGCCGCGUGAGGGAUGAAGGUACAGAGUAUCGUAAACCUCUUUUGUCAGGGAACAAAGGCGGGGACGUGUCCCCGGAUGAGUGUACCUGAAGAAAAAGCAUCGGCUAACUCCGUGCCAGCAGCCGCGGUAAUACGGAGGAUGCGAGCGUUAUCCGGAUUUAUUGGGUUUAAAGGGUGCGCAGGCGGUCUGUUAAGUCGGCGGUAAAAGCCCGGGGCUCAACCCCGGCCCGCCGUUGAAACUGGCAGUCUCGAGUUGGAGAGAAGUAUGCGGAAUGCGGGGUGUAGCGGUGAAAUGCAUAGAUAUCGCGCAGAACUCCGAUUGCGAAGGCAGCAUGCCGGCUCCACACUGACGCUGAGGCACGAAAGCGUGGGUAUCGAACAGGAUUAGAUACCCAGUAGUC
rnacentral:rRNA from 1 species